GAGCAAGCUUGAACUCAAGUGUGAGAAAGAGCAACUCUGUGUCGGUGUGCGUAGAAGCUGUCCCACCUUCCCAGCAGAGCCCCCCACCCACCCUUGGCUGUCCUACGACUGGAUCCACGAACAUCAGCCACAGCGAGCCGUGUACCCCCUUCCCCCUCCUCCCUCUCUGCGAUUCAGCAGUUUGUAUAAGCACGCAUACAGCGCGUGUCUCAUGCCUGCCGGUGCGAACUCGCGAACGCCGGCGACGGACUUCGUCCAGGACUACGCGGCGAAGCGGCAGGCGCAGAUGGAGCGGGCACGGCAGCUGCGUGAGGACCGCCUUCAGCAGCAGCAGCAGCGUCAGUCGUCCCCCCAAAAAAGCGGCGGUGGAAAUGCCUACAACUCCUCCCCGAAAUACACGGCGGUGCCCUCCGCCAGUGGCGGCGGCACAGCAACAGCGGCGCCGACUUCGCGUCAGCCCCCACCGCCGUCGCUCAACAUGCCGCGCUCCCGCCACGUCACCCCGGGUCACGGUAGCGCCGACAGCGGCUCCUCUCCUGGGAAAUGCGGGGAUGGAUGUGUUCUCUACAUCAAAGAGCAGGACUUCAAGCAGGCCACGCAAGCCGGCAUUAUCACUCCCGACCAGGCGCGCCAGUUGUGGGCGAUGCUGUCGAAUCAGAUCAUCCGCGUGUGCUCGCCGUCGGCGCACGCAAACGCCGUGUCUGUGAGCAGCCUGCUGGCACUGUCGAAUAACUCCUACAACUCCUCUGGUCGGGCGGCCGGCGGCCCUCAGUCGACUGGCGGCAGUGAGUUCGGCGCCAGCAUUUCAUUGGAGUCGCUGCGGACCAGCAUCGCGUACUUCAAGCGGGAGCAGCAACGGCUGCAGCAGCAGGGCGGUGGUGGCGCGGCCGGCGCAGCCCCCGGCUCUAACGCCCAGGGCCGCCACCCGCUGUCCUCUUCGUCGCCAGCACUCAGUAACACAGCGGGGCAGCCCUUGUCGCAGUCGCGUGGCCUGCCCCAACGUCAGUUGCAGUACGACGGCAACGCCAACAGUGACUAUUACCGGAACGACGGCGCCGCCAACGACGACGAGCAGCGAGCACUUGGCGCACCAAUGCCGCUGCGCGGUAGCGGUGGCGGUGGCGGUCGUGGUGGUCGUCCAGCUUGGAACUCAGAUGUGGAGGUGCGUCACGAGGACGACUACGACGACGAUCGUAACCGUCACGCGCCAUCGUCGAUGCCGACAAUGAGCAGCGGCGCGGCGGCGCUCAAGAAGCCGCGGACGGGGAGGACUAGCACGGUGAGGCCGGCUGUCAAGGGUCCCGCCGCAUCGUCAUCGCCGGCUGCUGGUGCUAGUGGUGUUUUUGGCACCUCUGCCCAAGGGGGCGUGGGACAGGGAGGCGGCGGCUAUGGAAACGACGACGAAGAGGCAAGCAACAACAUGUACAUGCCGCCGCAGCCCUCCUCCGCCGUGCCUCGAGGCGCCAAGGCCAGUGGCUCAGGUGCUGCUAGUCGGCGCCCCCCUGCAAGCCGUCUGACGGCACCACCGCCCUCGUCUGGCGCACCCGUGAACCUGGAUGAAGUGCCCGUCGGCGGCGGCGGCGGUGGUGGCGGCAUGAACGACUGGGCCAACGCCUAUCCACCCGGUAUGGUGCCACCGACGAGCACCGGUGGCAACGACGCAAUCGCUGCCGAGGCGGCGGCGGUAGCGCAGGAGCCGAUGCAAGAGUGCCGCACCUGUGGCCGCAGAUUUCGUAUAUCGGUGGUCAUGCGGCACGAGGCGCUGUGUCGCAAUCAGGCGAACAAGCCGCGGAAGGUCUUCAACAUGCGCGAGCAGCGACUGGAGGGUGUCGAGGGGAUCAAGGAGGUGCAGCGGACAGCGGCACGGAGCGGUGGUGGUGGUGGCGGUCGCGGUGUCGGUGGCGGUGGCGGACGCGGCGGUGGCGGCGACGCAGCAACAGGGGCGGCCAAGGGCAAGCUCCCCAAGUGGAAGGUUCAGCACGAGCAGUUCCAGGCUGCGAUGCGAGCGGUUCGCCAGCAAAAGGAGGCCGGAGGUGGCUUCGGAUUCGGGCAGAUGGCACCGCCGCCUGCCCCGAUUCCGGAGGAGUAUGAUGAUCGCGUCCCGUGCCCGCAUUGCGGGCGCAAGUUUGCCCAAGAGGUGGCGGCCCGGCACAUUCCAAAGUGCGCGACGACCAUUGCGAAGCCCAAGGGGAUCCGCCCGAUUCGCCGAUGACGAAGUUGGGAUGAGGUAAGGCACCGCAAGAGAAGGUCCCGUGAAAGACGACAAUAAAACCCCACCCGCUGCCCCCAGUACACUUACAGGGGGUGUGUGCGUGUGGGUGUGGGUGUAUCAUCUGGCGUGUAGGUGCGCGCUCGUCUGUCUCCCCCCCCCACUCUCUAAGUGUGUGUGUGUGUGUGUGUGUGUGUGUGUGGGAAUGGGAUGAGGUGGGGGAGGGGAGCACUAGAAGCAUGGCAGGGAUGUCACACAGAUGGGUGGGGAUGAGGAGGAGAUGGUCGCCGUCGUUGGCCUUCUGCUUUUGCUGGCAUUGUGCUCCCUCUCGCGCUCUCGCAACCCCCCUCUUCUCCUCAUGUCCGUCUCCGUGACACGCAUGAAACAUGCAUAUCUGUAUCGCUUGCUCUUGGCGUUAUUGGCGUUGGCGUUGUUACGGGGUGGCUGUGGUUAAGACGCUUUUCGCCGCGUUAGAUAUUUCCGUCUUCUUCCUCGUGUACAUGUGUUGGCACUUC
rnacentral:misc_RNA from 1 species